GGCAGGGUGGCUUAGUGGUUAACACGUUUGCCUUAGCACCUCCAGGGUUGGGGGUUCGAAUUUCACCUCUGCCC